GUGGGGAAUAUUGGGCAAUGGGGGCAACCCUGACCCAGCGACGCCGCGUGAGGGAAGAAGGCCUUAGGGUCGUAAACCUCUGUUGUGUGGGAAGAAGGAAGUGACGGUACCACACGAGGAAGUCCCGGCUAACUACGUGCCAGCAGCCGCGGUAAUACGUAGGGGACGAGUGUUGUCCGGAAUUACUGGGCGUAAAGGGCGCGUAGGCGGUCAUUUAAGUCAGCUGUGAAAUGGUCCGGCUCAACCGGAUCAUGCGGUUGAAACUGGAUGACUGGAGUGCUGGAGAGGCAAGUGGAAUUCCCAGUGUAGCGGUGAAAUGCGUAGAUAUUGGGAAGAACACCGGUGGCGAAGGCGACUUGCUGGCCAGCAACUGACGCUGAGGCGCGAAAGCCAGGGGAGCAAACGGGAUUAGAAACCCUGGUAGUCC
rnacentral:rRNA from 1 species